rnacentral:rRNA from 1 species
ACUGGGGGGGCGGGCUAACACAUGCAAGUCGAGCGGCAGCGGGGAGUAGCUUGCUACUUUGCCGGCGAGCGGCGGACGGGUGAGUAAUGCUUGGGAACUUGCCUUUAGGAGGGGGAUAACCACGGGAAACUGUGGCUAAUACCGCAUAAUGUCUACGGACCAAAGCAGGGGCUCUUCGGACCUUGCACCUAGAGAUAGGCCCAAGUGAGAUUAGCUAGUUGGUGGGGUAAAGGCCCACCAAGGCGACGAUCUCUAGCUGUUCUGAGAGGAUGAUCAGCCACACUGGGACUGAGACACGGCCCAGACUCCUACGGGAGGCAGCAGUGGGGAAUAUUGCACAAUGGGGGAAACCCUGAUGCAGCCAUGCCGCGUGUGUGAAGAAGGCCUUCGGGUUGUAAAGCACUUUCAGUGGUGAGGAAGGAUGUAAGAUUAAUACUCUUGCAUAUUGACGUUAGCCACAGAAGAAGCACCGGCUAACUCCGUGCCAGCAGCCGCGGUAAU